CAAUGUAGUUGAGUGGUGUGGCAUGACCUGUUGGUGGCAGCGCCUCCAGCGGGGUGCUACUGGCGAAGUGAGCGGGAUUGUGUUGGAUCGUAUGGUCCGGUGGUAGCGACCUUGUUUUUUUUGGAAUUAGUGGUUUCUGCGGGGCUUGGUUGCUCGGUUGGAUCAGGGGCCAAGAUUCUCGUGGAAUGUGAGGCAAUUGGUACUUGAAUUAUGUCGAGGUGGAAUGGUCAAAUUCAAUUUAGAAUGCUAGAUUCGUAAAAUCUAAUGUUUCUUGAGAUAACUAGCUUGUGUUUGGAUGGCACCCAAAUGCAGUAACAUUUGGUGUUUUGGUCGUAGCCGACAACAAGGCAUGUUUUAGAGAGCAGCUAUAGUUUGUCGUGGUACUCCUUUUCUACCCAAACAUGUACGAUAGAUCCAAAAAUCCGCUAAAAAGAAACAUCAGGUUUUUUAUAAUAGAGGCGUUGGUAUGGUGUUACCUCAAGAAGAGCCUUGGUGGGUGAUUGGUUAAGAAUAAAAGUUGCGGUGUUGACAGAUUUUAUCCAAAGAAAACUGGGUGUGAUGGCUCGAGUGGUCAUGUUAUGCGCCAUGUCAAGAAGAUUGCAGUUCGUUUCUACUCGUCGACUAUGACUAGCAUGCAAUCGGAACCACCUGGAGAUGUGAUCGGGAAGGGACCACACAAUUCUAUGUGAGGUAAUUCAAGAAUUUUAGUUGACUUUGUAACACUCAUUCUGGAGAAUGCUUCUUGAUGUUGCUUGCCCGCUUGACAAUGUUCGCAGACUUCUUUGUGUACCGAAAUGUAUGGAAUUCCAUCAACCAUGUUUUGAGCUGAUAGAUCAUGAAGUCUCGGGUUGAUAGUGUACCCUAGCUUGUAAUGCCACAACCCGAUUGUGUGUAGUUCCGUCUAAGUCAGAUUGGUUGCGAUCUCUGAAUUGCUUGUGUUGAGUUGAUACAAUCCGUUCCGUCUAUUUUGUGUACCUUUAGCUGUUAUGCGAUCAUGAGAUCCAUUGUACAAAAUGCAUUUUUAGUUGCUAAAACAUGCUAUGAGGCCUCUGUUGGUAAAGUAGCCAAUGGACAAAAGAUUCUUUUGUAAUCCAUGAACGUACAGAAUAUCAGAUACUUCUUUUAUUUCUCCCAAUGGGAACUUUAGAUGUACAAUGCCGCAACCGGCUAUCUGGUGGCUGUGACCUUCUGUUGUUUUCACAUUGCCACUAAAUCCUCCUAAGCUAUCAAAGUUGUAUCGCCCUCUGGAGACAUGUUGUAUGGCCCCGGAGUUGAGGUACCAUCUUGGAUCGUGGUCGUGAGCAUUCAGUGAAGAAAUCGCUGCUUCAAAUAGCUGGUCAUUGCUGGUUUCUUCGAGAGGAAUGGGGUCAAUAUUGUCAUCAAGUUUGGCCAUGAGGUCUCAUCGUGAACUAUGUUCGCGGAUUGAAAACGUAAUCCUAGCUUUGACAUUUUGUCCGCUUUGAGUUUCCUUAUGUUACUAAGUCUUUUGGGAUACAUAUGUUUCGGAUGACCAUGUUUUCAACAGUAUGUGCAUUGAAUUGUGUUCGAUUAUCUUAGCGUACUGGAAUAGCCGUGGUGAGAGCUGAAAGUGCCAUAAUGACGAUGAGAUUAACUGCUUUUGUGGUUCAGGCGGAAGUAGAGAGCUUUGCGAGUAGUGUUUCGCCUUUCGGGUCUCGUUCAUCUACGGCUCUCCUCGAGCGUGAACCGAGACUGAAGUUUAUCUGGGAUGGGGUAACCUCCGCCGCUGGUGUAGUUACUCAAGAAGUUUUCGUAGGAGUCAGGUAGAGCUUUGACAACAAUUUGAACAAGACCAGAGUCAUCUACUUCGACCCCUAUGGCAAAGAGCUCUGCGAGAAUGCGUCGAAAUUGUGAGAAAUAACGUUCGACUCUAUUGUGCUUAAAGAAUAUGAUGAAAUCAAGUCUGUUCUUCAGGCCGAAUUUUUUUCUGUCAUUUGCACAUUAAACGAGUCACGUAAAAAGUCCCACAAUUUUUUUGGUUCGUAAAAGUCAGUAACGACGGCUAGCAAGCUGGGCUUAAUCAAUAUACUGAGUAUGUACAUCGGACGUUCAUAUCUAUCAUCUUUGUAUUCCUCAUCUGUAAGGUCCUUGGAAUACUGUUUUUCCUUGCCUUUAGAAGAUGAUUUGGUUGAGGGAGGAGAUAGGAUCUCCGACAAUCUCUCUCGUUCUGUCACUCUAGUGAUCAUGUACUUCCAUAGGUGGAAGAUCUUGCGAGUUUUACCUCCUCAGGGACCACAUUGUCGUUCGGCAUGGUUUGUACUACUAGUGGAUACAAGAGAAAGAAAUAAAGAAAAAAAGAGAGGUCUAACGACUCUCUGAUACCAUGUUAGAUAAA
rnacentral:lncRNA from 1 species